AUGAUUGUAUUAUUAUGCUAAAUAGUUUUAUGAUGGAGUAGUUGAUGCCUUAACUUACUGUUCUAAAAAAUAAAGAUAGAUAGAUGUUACUUGAUAAUAUUUUAAGAAUUGUUGAGGGUGAUUAUAAGCUUGGUUAAAGAUCAAUUGCUCAUAAUAUUUAUCAAUUGAUUGGAUAUCUACUAGUAGUGCACUUUAUCAUGAAGGUUUUCAUUUUAACGAUCAUGAAAGCAAUAGCUCCUAAGAUAUUUGGCAAAGAGAAACUGAGGUCUGGAUUUCUUUUAAGUCUUUCCAAAGCAUAGAUAUAAAGUCUUCUCAUUUUCUGUUUCUGAUUAAUUUUAGGAUUGUAUUCCUUUUUCAUAUGGCAGAUGUAUGGUCAUGUGGAGUGACUCUUUAUGUUAUGUUGGUUGGUGCUUACCCGUUUGAGGACCAGGAGGAUCCAAAGAAUUUUAGGAAAACUAUUAGUAGAAUAAUGUCAGUUCAAUACUCCAGCUUUGUGAAUUGCAACUAUAGUGAUUGUAAGCCCUUAUGCAUUGAAUAGAUAUGUGGAUUCCAUUGUCGAUGAGUUGUUGAGGGAAGAUGAAUCUAUGUCCCUGUUUUGUCACUAUGCUUUUGGACAAAAGUCGAUUCCUCCGACUGGCAAUGCAACUUUGAUCAAACAGAUUGUUAAUGAAUGCAAAGUACUUCCAUUGGCACUUAAAGUGAUUGGAGCUUCCUUGCAAGACCAACCAGAAAUGUAAUGGAUAAAUGCAAGGAAAAGGUUAUCACGAAGAACAAAUCUGCGAGUCUCAUGAAAGUAAAUUGCUCGAUCAAAUGGCAAUCGGUUUCGAGUACAGUAACAAAAAUGACUUCCGUAGAAAUAAAAUCCUGAUUAACACAGUCUAAGAUGAACGUUGCCAAUCACUAUUUGUAUUAAACUUGGGAGUUUGUACAAAAGUGGAACGGAUACAAUUUUAUUUUUCACAGGAAAGUGUUUGUAAAACAAGUUCUUGUAAUGGAAUUUGUAAGAAAUACAAUAUAUAUUUUCUAUCAUAUCUUAAGAAU